UCGUCUGAGACGGACUGUUAUGGAGGUACAAAAUCUUCAGUGAUGCGUUCACGCAUCUACGAGCCGGUAAUUGGCGGUAUCCAGAUCAUCGUCGUACUGUUAGCUUACCUAAGCUACCGAAAUUAGCGACAGUGUAAAAUCUGUGCUGUGAGACCUACAGUUGCCUCUCACAACCGUCCGGAAGUCGCAGUGAUUUGGUAACAUCAAGUGCAUCACCACCGCACGAAGCGCAGCAUAUUGACGCAAGCCCAAGCGGACAGCAACCACCUGCAGCAAACGUACGCUGAACGAAUGGUCGUGGUAGACGCGUUAGGAUUGCAAGGCGAUACUUGCGCUCUGAAACAGAUGUUUGGGCCACAGAGGUGACGUUCCGAGAUUGUAAAAACAUGUCGGGCCCACAGUUUCAGAUAAGCCGUUCUCAUCAAUGCCAUACCAUGUACGGUCGGCUAGUUACACUUCAUCACGAAGGACAAUCACAUCUGGGUCACGGAAUGCUGCCAAAACGAUGAAGCUGGUUUAGUCCUCGAUGACGACGCAACUCCUGCACGUUCGUCGUCAUACUAUCAUUUCAACUGGAGGCAUGUUUGUUUAGGCGGCUACAACAAAUUGUUUGAACAUGUUCAAAACAACAUGGCUUCUCACAAUUACUGGUGAAUGCUGGAAAUCUCCGUGAUAGCCAUUUUCGUGCGCUGAAUUAGGUUUGUAUGAAAAAUAGUGUAUUUUUAGAAUAUUUAAUUAUCGAUAAAAUAACGGUCGAUU